AGUGAACGCUGGCGGUAGGCCUAACACAUGCAAGUCGAACGGCAGCACAGUAAGAGCUUGCUCUUACGGGUGGCGAGUGGCGGGCGGGUGAGGAAUACAUCGGAAUCUACUUUUUCGGGGGGGAUAACGUAGGGAAACUUACGCUAAUACCGCAUACGACCUACGGGUGGAAUCAGGGGAUCUUCGGACCUUGCGCGAUUGAAUGAGCCGAUGUCGGAUUAGCUAGUUGGCGGGGUAAAGGCCCACCAAGGCGACGAUCCGUAGCUGGUCUGAGAGGAUGAUCAGCCACACUGGAACUGAGACACGGUCCAGACUCCUACGGGAGGCAGCAGUGGGGAAUAUUGGACAAAGGGCGCAAGCCUGAUCCAGCCAUACCGCGUGGGUGAAGAAGGCCUUCGGGUUGUAAAGCCCUUUUGUUGGGAAAGAAAAGCAGCAGGUUAAUACCCCGCUGUUCUGACGGUACCCAAAGAGUAAGCACCGGCUAACUUCGUG
rnacentral:rRNA from 1 species